rnacentral:rRNA from 1 species
GACGAACGCUGGCGGCGUGCUUAACACAUGCAAGUCGAACGCUGAAGCUUGGUGCUUGCACUGGGUGGAUGAGUGGCGAACGGGUGAGUAAUACGUGAGUAACCUGCCCUUGACUCUGGGAUAAGCCUGGGAAACUGGGUCUAAUACUGGAUACGACAUGCCACUGCAUGGUGGUGUGUGGAAAGGGUUUUACUGGUUUUGGAUGGGCUCACGGCCUAUCAGCUUGUUGGUCGGGUAAUGGCCUACCAAGGCGACGACGGGUAGCCGGCCUGAGAGGGUGACCGGCCACACUGGGACUGAGACACGGCCCAGACUCCUACGGGAGGCAGCAGUGGGGAAUAUUGCACAAUGGGCGGAAGCCUGAUGCAGCGACGCCGCGUGAGGGAUGACGGCCUUCGGGUUGUAAACCUCUUUCAGCGCGGAAGAAGCGAGAGUGACGGUACGUGCAGAAGAAGCGCCGGCUAACUACGUG